rnacentral:rRNA from 1 species
GAGAGGAGCUUGCUCCUCGAUUCAGCGGCGGACGGGUGAGUAAUGCCUAGGAAUCUGCCUAGUAGUGGGGGACAACGUUUCGAAAGGAACGCUAAUACCGCAUACGUCCUACGGGAGAAAGUGGGGGAUCUUCGGACCUCACGCUAUUAGAUGAGCCUAGGUCGGAUUAGCUAGUUGGUAGGGUAAAGGCCUACCAAGGCGACGAUCCGUAACUGGUCUGAGAGGAUGAUCAGUCACACUGGAACUGAGACACGGUCCAGACUCCUACGGGAGGCAGCAGUGGGGAAUAUUGGACAAUGGGCGAAAGCCUGAUCCAGCCAUGCCGCGUGUGUGAAGAAGGCCUUCGGGUCGUAAAGCACUUUAAGUUGGGAGGAAGGGCUCAUAGCGAAUACCUGUGAGUUUUGACGUUACCAACAGAAUAAGCACCGGCUAACUUCGUGCCAGCAGCCGCGGUAAUACGAAGGGUGCAAGCGUUAAUCGGAAUUACUGGGCGUAAAGCGCGCGUAGGUGGCUUGAUAAGUUGGAUGUGAAAUCCCCGGGCUCAACCUGGGAACUGCAUCCAAAACUGUCUGGCUAGAGUGCGGUAGAGGGUAGUGGAAUUUCCAGUGUAGCGGUGAAAUGCGUA